AUAAAUUAUUUAGGGAUCUUGAUAAAGUACAGAUUAUAAUUCAGUAGUUCUGGGGCAGAACAUUUCUAACAAGAUUCUGCAAUUCUAAUAUGUCCCAGGUGAGGCAGAU
rnacentral:pre_miRNA from 1 species